rnacentral:rRNA from 1 species
GAUUUCCUUAGUAGCGGCGAGCGAACAGGAAUAAGCCCAGCACUGAAUCCUGCAAUUGUAACCGAUUGCUAGGAAAUGUAGUGUUAAGAAAGAUUCAUUAUCUAAAAAUUAAAUGAUGCGUCCAAGUCCAUCUUGAACGGGGCCAUUACCCAUAGAGGGUGCCAGGCCCGUAGUGAUUAUCAUUUGUUUUUAGAGAAUCUUUUCUGAGAGUCGAGUUGCUUGAGAGUGCAGCUCUAAGUGGGUGGUAAACUCCAUCUAAGGCUAAAUAUAACCACGAGACCGAUAGCGAACAAGUACCGUGAGGGAAAGUUGAAAAGAACUUUGAAGAGAGAGUUCAAUAGUACGUGAAACCGUUUAGGGGUAAACCUGAGAAACCCGAAAGGUCGAAAAAGAAGAUUCAAUCGCGUUUUCGUUUGUUUGCAUUUUGUAGAAUAGUGACGAUUAACAUUUAUGUUGAUUGCGCAUUUUGCAAAUGAUUCUAACAUCGAACGUGUGCACUUCUUCUUUAGUAGGACGUUGCAAUUCGUUAAGUGUCGAUUUARGACUUGUGGAUAAGUUUGUUUGUUUUUAUAACUUACAAGACCAUAAUGUUUUCUAAUUGACUUGCUUGACGAUAUAACUAAGGCGCGGAGCCGCAACAUUAGUUUGCGUCUAACCUGUAACAAGCUAGUUUGUUGAGUUGAUUUAUUCGCAUUUUUAUGUCGAUUUUGACCUCAAACAGCUGUUCGUUAUAGUGUUUAGACAGACUUCGUUAAACGCCAAUUAGCAACGCUAUAGCUUUGGGUAAUUUCAGGACCCGUCUUGAAACACGGACCAAGGAGUCUAGCAUGUACGCAAGUCAAUAGGACAUAACUAAACCUAAAGGCGAAAUGAAAGUAAAAGUUUGUCUUGUACAAACUAAGGGAAGAUGAGUAAUAUUAUAGAAAUUACUCCGCAUUCCCGGGGCGUCUCAUACUCAUUGCGAGUGGAGGCGCACCAAGAGCGUACACGCUGGGACCCGAAAGAUGGUGAACUAUGCUUGAUCAGGACGAAGUCAGGGGAAACCCUGAUGGAGGUCCGUAGCGAUUCUGACGUGCAAAUCGAUCGUCGGAAUUGAGUAUAGGGGCGAAAGACCAAUCGAACUAUCUAGUAGCUGGUUCCCUCCGAAGUUUCCCUCAGGAUAGCUGGCGCUCGUUACGAGUUUCAUCCGGUAAAGCGAAUGAUUAGAGGCAUUGGGGUCGAAACGACCUCAACCUAUUCUCAAACUUUAAAUGGGUGAGAUCUUCGGCUUGCUUAAAUUAGUGAAGCCAAAGAUUAUCGAAUCAGAGUGCCAAGUGGGCCAUUUUUGGUAAGCAGAACUGGCGCUGUGGGAUGAACCAAACGCUGAGUUAAAGCGCCUAAAUCGACGCUUAUGGGAUACCAUGAAAGGCGUUGGUAACUUAAGACAGCAGGACGGUGGUCAUGGAAGUCGAAAUCCGCUAAGGAGUGUGUAACAACUCACCUGCCGAAGUUACUAGCCCUGAAAAUGGAUGGCGCUAAAGCGUCGUGCUUAUACUCAGCCGUUAGUGGCAUGAGAGAUUAUUUAAUAAUCUUGAUGCUCUAACGAGUAGGAGGGUCGCGACGGUGUGCGUAGAAGGGCUAGUCGUGAGACUGUCUGGAGCCGCCGUCGGUGCAGAUCUUGGUGGUAGUAGCAAAUACUUCAGCGAGGCCCUGGAGGACUGACGUGGAGAAGGGUUUCGUGUGAACAGCUGUUGCACACGAGUCAGUCGAUCCUAAGCCCUAGGCGAAAGCCGAUGUUGAUGAGUCGUUUUGAAUAUUAUUAUAUUUUAAGUUAAUUAUGUUACAAACAAACUUAUAUUAAUAUAUACAAACACGACCUUCCGGGCGAAAGGGAAUCCGGUUCCUAUUCCGGAACCCGGUAGCGGAACCGUCCAAAAUUCGUUCCCUCGAAAGAGAGUUCGUCGGGGUAACCCAAACAGACCCGGAGACGCCGUCGGGAGAUCCAGGGAGAGUUUUCUUUUCUGUAUAAGCGUUCGAGUUCCAUGGAAUCCUCUAGCAGGGAGAUAUGGUUUGGAACGCGAAGAGCACCGCAGUUGCGGCGGUGUCUGGAUCUUCCCCUCGGACCUUGAAAAUCCGGGAGAGGGACACGUGGAGGAGUCGCACCGGCUCGUACCCAUAUCCGCAGC